rnacentral:rRNA from 1 species
AACAUUUCAGCAACGGAUCUCUUGGCUCUCGCAUCGAU